rnacentral:rRNA from 1 species
UACGGGGGGGGCAAGCGUUGUUCGGAAUUACUGGGCGUAAAGGGCUCGUAGGCGGCCAACUAAGUCCGACGUGAAAUCCCAAGGCUUAACCUUGGAACUGCGUCGGAUACUGGAUGGCUUGAAUUCGGGAGAGGGAUGCAGAAUUCCAGGUGUAGCGGUGAAAUGCGUAGAUAUCUGGAGGAAUACCGGUGGCGAAGGCGGCAUCCUGGACCGACAUUGACGCUGAUGAGCGAAAGCUAGGGGAGCAACGGG